rnacentral:piRNA from 1 species
GAGAAUCAUGCUGAGGUGUUGUUUAUCCC